UACGUAGGGUGCGAGCGUUAAUCGGAAUUACUGGGCGUAAAGGGUGCGCAGGCGGUUAUAUAAGACAGAUGUGAAAUCCCCGGGCUCAACCUGGGAAUUGCGUUGGAGACUGCAAGGCUGGAGUCUGGCAGAGGGGGGUAGAAUUCCACGUGUAGCAGUGAAAUGCGUAGAGAUGUGGAGGAACACCGAUGGCGAAGGCAGCCCCCUGGGUCAAGACUGACGCUCAUGCACGAAAGCGUGGGGAGCAAACAGG
rnacentral:rRNA from 1 species